UGGAGAAGGGGAGCACGUGCAAAGAGGAGGGUUUAAUUUGUUUUGCACGUGCCCUGCUUCUCCAAC
rfam:Jatropha curcas cultivar GZQX0401 scaffold392_11, whole genome shotgun sequence.